UCUGCAGUCUGUAGGUGGCUCGUCUGCAGUCGCAGUCGCAGCUCCAGCUCGAACCUCGCGACGGCCGGUCUUCGCGCGGCCUCGGCUCCGGCCCCGGCCUCAGCCUCCCGGCGCGGCUCGCAGCGGCGGCGGCGGCGGCUCCCGCUCGACGGCCCCGGGCCGCCCCAGCACCCCGGACAGCGGCGCCUCCUGCCGGGACCCGGCCGUCUCCCCCCAUCCCCGCCGGGCUCGCGGCCCGCUGCCCUGAGGGCCCCAGCACUGUGCAAUGGAAAGAAUGUGGACGGGGCUGUCUCACCUGAUCCUCACAACCACCCUGGGAGGUUUAACUGUUAGUAAUAUACAAAAGGUGGAUGAUUUUUGUGGAUUCAUUUCAUAUUCUACUUUGAUGCUGAUUAAGUAAGCCAUCAUGUCAUCUGCAAAUAGGGCCACGUCCAUCAGACUUGAUCAUCAUAUAGUGUUGUUGUUGAAGUAUAUAAUGAUCUCCUGGUUCUGCUCAUUUCAAGAAAACUUUAUUGAGAGUUUCUAAGUGGCAGGCAAUGUGCCGGCAACUCUGAGCACUCAGUGUAUCUCCAGGGUAAAUGGAAGAGAAUCUUGAGAGGCAGAUGGUGACAUUGGAGCUAGGACUGGAAACAAGCCAGGUAAGCUGGGACACUGACAUCGGUGUCCAAGACUAAGCCAGGUUGACAGUCACAGAAAAUGUCAUCUGAGAAUGGCGUAGCUUCGAGAGGAACACCAAGGGAGGUUGGCCCCGGGUGGAGCAGACAGAGCGUGGAGCAAGGUCACUUGGCAGCAGUUGGAAAGGCUGACUUCAGAAAAGCCUGGAGAGACUUACAUGAAUUGAUGCUGAGUGAAGUGAGCAGAACCAGGAGAACAUCGUACACGGUAACAGCAAGACUGUGUGACAAUCAACCUCGGCGGAAUUGGCUCUUCUCAGAAGUGUGGUGAUCCAAGACAAUUCCAGUUUACUUGGGAUGGAAAAGGCCACCUUGGGGACUGAAUUUGGAUCAAAGCAUACUAUGUAAUUGUUUUUUUCUCAUGGUUUCCCUUUUGAUUUUUCUUUCACAACAUGGAAACAUGUUUAGAAUGAUUGUACAUGUAUAACCUAUGUUAGAUUGCUUGCUAUCUUGGAGAGGGAGAAAAGUUUUUGUAACUCAAAAUCUUAAAGAAGUGAAUGUUGAAAACUAUCUUAACAUGUAAUUGGAAAAUAAAAUACUGUUAAGUAAAAAAAAGUGAGAGUGAGACUAGAUGAGAAUUCAGUAUAAAUUCCUGAAACUUAACUAAAAAUAUCAUUGGCAACAGAAAGUAAAAAAACUGGGAGAGCAAAUAGGAGUUUGAGAGAGAGUAAAAGAAAUUGAGAAAUGCAGGGGAAAGAGAAACAAUGGAAUAGAGAGAAAAUAAGAUGGAGGAGUAUAGAAGAGACAAAGUGAAAGACAAGUAGGGAAUGAGCAAAAGAUUAACAGUAGAAGUAGAGAAAGAAUGAGAGAGACAAACAAAAGCGGAGUGGGGGGAGAGAGAGUAAGAAGUAGUGAGAAAAAGAGGGAGAAUGGGAGGACAAGACAGAAAGAGAGAUGGAGAUAGGGAAUGAGAAAAAGAAUGAGAGGAUGACAAAGAGAAAGAAAACUUAGGAAAACAGUGAUUUUUUUUUAAAAAAAAAAGGACAGAAUGUGAGAGAGCCAUAGAAAUAACAGGAGAGGAAAAAGGAGGAGAGACAGAGAAAGCCCAAAACAGAAUGAAAUAGAAAAUGAGAGUGAUACAGAGAGAGUGAGAAAUGGGAAGAAAAUUAGAGGGAAAGAAAAAUAGUAGAAUAGAGAAAAAAGGGAGAUAGAACAAGAGAAAUAAAAAGAAAGACAGACACAGUGAAAGAGAAUAAAAGAUUGGAGAGGGAAAAGGGGAAAGAGUGGGAUAGGAGAGUGUGUGAGAUUGGAUUAUUAGCUUACAAUUUCUCAAUCCUUACAAAUGAGUGAGUCAAAGAGCAAAUUUUAGGAUGGAUAAUUUCAUUAAAGAUAAUGACAACAAUGAGCCAACAUAUGUGAACUGAUCCAGCCAUUCUUGAAAACAAUUGAGAACUUUGCCCAAAGGGCUAUCAAACUGUGCAUACCCUUUGAUCCAGCAGAGUCACUACUAGAUUUGUAUCCCAAAGAAAUCAUAAAAGAGGGGAUGGGACCCCCGUGUGCAAAAACAGCACCUUUUUCUGUGGUGGCAAAGAAAUGGAAAAUGAGGGGAUGCCCAUUGGUUGGAGAAUGGCUGAAUAAGUGAAUAAGAUAUAUGAUUGUAAUGGAAUAUUAUUGUUCUAUAAAAAAUGAUGAUUUCGGGGAGACUUACCUGAACUGAUGCUGAGUGAAGUAAGCUGAACCAGGACAAUAUUGUACACAGCAACAAGAUUAUGUGAUGAUCAACUAUGAUUGAUUUAGCUCUUCUAAGCAAUGCACUGAUCCAAGACAAUUGUGAAUUCAGAGAGAAUUAUGGAGACUGAAUGUAGAUAGAAGCAUAUUAUUUUCAUCUUUUUCCUUUUUCUUUCUCAUGGUUUUCCCCUUUCAUUCUGAUUUUUCUUUCAUAACAUGACUACUAUGUUUAAAAUGAUUAUACAUGUAUAAAUUAUAUCACAUUGCUUGCUGUCCUGGGGAGGAUAAACGGGAAGGAGAAAAAUAUUUGGAAUGAGACAAUGUACCAAAAUUUAUGUGAAACAGCCAAAAUAGUACCAAAUGGAAAAUUUAUGUUUCUAAAUACUUACAUCAAUAAAAUAGAGAAAGAGAUGGAUGAAAUGCAUAUGCAACUAAAAACUAGCAAAAAAUUAAAAAUCCUGAAAAUCAAAGGAAAGAUUAGUAAAAAUUGAAAACAAUAAAAGCACUUAACUAAUAAAACUAAGAGAUGUAUUCAUGGAAAAAAAACCCAACAAAAUAGAGAAAACAUUGGUUAGUUUGAAUUUUAAAAAGAAGAAAAUCAAAUUACCAGUAUCAAAAAUGAAAAGGGUGAAUUCACCACCACUGAAGAUGAAAUUAAAGCAAUUAUUAGGAGCUAUUUUGCCCAAUUAUAUCAACAAAUCUAACCAUCUAAAUGAUUUUUCUCUCUUUCUCAUCUUUUUCAAGAAUGAAAGAGAAAAAUUGCGAGAAAUAAAUGAGAUUGGAAGAAAUAUGAAAGUGAGAAACAAUAAGGGAGUGAGAGAGAAUGAGAAAAAGAAAAAAGGUGUAUUCUUGAAAGAAGAAAGAAUGGGACAGUGAGGCAAAAAUAAGAGAAAAAAGAAUGGGAGAGAAAAGCAAAGUAAAAAAGAGUGGGAGACAGAGCCAGGGAAAGAGAGAAAGAAAAAUGGAGAGUGAGAGAAAAGAAAAAUAGACAAAGCUUUGGAGACAGGGAAGGGAGCAAAAGAGACAGAAAAAGUGAAGAAAACAGGGAGCAUAAAAUAAAGAGAUAAGGGCAGAGUGAGGAAAAGGGAAAGCAUGAGUCAAAGUGUGGCAGAAAGAAAGAAAAAGAGAUGUUGGUGAAAGAGAAAUUCUGUGAGUGGAAUACAGAGAAAAAAGGAGAGAGGAAGAGAAAGAAGCAGAGAGCAUGAGUGGGAAAAACAAUUAGAAAUUCUCUUAUUUUUAUGCCAACAAAACUGAAGAUAAAAUGAAAUGGGUGAAUAUUUAUAAAAGUAUAAAAUGGAGGAAAUAACAAAUAUAAACAAUCUUAUCUCAGAGAAUCUGAGUAAAUCAUAAAUGAAAUCCAAGGAAAAAUUCCUAGUUUAAUUAUGAAUUAUAUCACACAUUUAAAGAACAGUUAAUCAUUCUGCUAUGUAAGCUGUUCACAAAGUAAUAGAGCAAGAUGCCACCUUUACCAAAUUCCUUCUAUGAGAAAAAUAUGGUCCUGACAAACUAAAUUAGGGAUAAAGCUAAUAAAGAAAAAUACACACCAAUAUCACUAAUUAUUUAGUUAACCAAGCAGGUAUAAUAUAUUAAAAAUUAUUCACUAUGAUCAAUUUAGAUUUAUACCAGAAGUAUAAGGUUGGCUCAGAAAUGCCAUAUAUUUGAAAAACUACGCAUUUAUAACACAUCAUAUUAAUAAAUCACAUAAUCAUUUCAGUUCGGAGGGGAAAAAAAGCCUCGGGGAAAAUAUACUUUUAUUUCUGAUAUCCAGUGAGAAUAUUAAUUAUGUUUUUUUAAUAUCUGUAAAAUCAGGAACUAGUUUUUAUUUGUAACAGAAUAACACCAUAGUCUUUCCCAGUAAGAUAAUACAAGAUUCCUCACUGUCUCUGUUAUUAUUUGAAUACCUUUCUAGAAAUGCUCCUAUAGCACUGACAAUGAAAAGUAGCUCAGGGAGAACAAAUCCAUCAAGGGAGAAGAAUAUCCCUUCUAUUGGCAGAUAAUAUGAUGUUUACUUUAAGAAUUAUGGGGUUUCAGAAAAAACACUCAUCAAAAUGACAGCCCCAGUAAAGUUGUAAGAUAUAAAAUGAAACUACAAGUUGUCACCUUUUGUCUACAUCACUUACAAUCCAAGAGGAAGAGAUGGACAGAAAAACUCUACUAAAUCCUCUGUGAUGCAUUAAAAAAUGGAUUUAAGAGACUGAGACACGGUUAAGAGUGAUCUAAACUCUGCCAUAAAGCACUGCUGAGUGUUUUAUGAGUAAAGUACAUUGGAGAGAGAUUCAUUACUCAUGGUUGGAGCGUGUCAAAAUGUUUUAAAAAAUUGUGAUGACAUUUAAAUUAAUUCAUAAAUUGAGUUUUUUUUUCAAGCAAUAUAUUACCAAGGCGUUCCUGUAUAGGACCAUAUAAGUCAUAAUGAAAGUUCAUUAAUUUCAAGGGAAAUAGUGGGAAAAAAUAAUAAUGAAGGGAGCUUAGCAUUAUCAAAUCUCAGAUGAUAGUAUGAAGCAGUAAUCAUCUAUUUGAAUGGUUUAUAUGGUUUAAGAAAAGGACUAGAGAAAUGGGACUUAGGAGUAAAGGAUACAGUCGUUCAGUGUUUUAUAAACCCAAAGAUAUUGAUAUCAUGGAUAUGGUAGAUAGAAGAGUUCUUGGGAAAUCACAUUGGACUAGCAUUUUAUACCACGUAAUCGUCAUAAGCCUGAAAUGGAUGUAUGACAGUAAUAUAAAAGGUCAUAGCACCAAAAAUUAAGAGUAAAGGUUCCAUAUAUACCAAAAUAUUCCUAAUUUUUUUUCCUUAACAGAAAAUUCUCCAAAUAAAAUUAGUCCUUGUCUCUUAGGAAACGGAUAAACAAAAUGUGAUAUGAAUGUAGUACGAUAUUAUUUAAUGUAAAAAAAAUGACUAUAAAAUUCAGAAACUUGGGCAGACUUGUAUGAACCUUGGGAACAUUAAUGAUAGUAAUUAUAAUUUCAAUAGUACUUUAAAGUUUACAGAAUUCUUUGGAAAUGUGAUCUCACUUUAUCCUCACAACUCUAAAAAGUUUGAAUAGUUAUCAAAAUAGAAAAUGCCCAGAUUCACAGAACAAGAAGUAAAGGGCUGAAAUAACAGUUCAUAAAAAGAAAUGAAACAAGCCAUAAAUGACUUCCAAAAAGGGAGAGAGGACCUUAGACUUUAUAAGUAAAUUUGAUUAUUCAGAAAAAAGAGUCCAUGGUGUUGUUAACCUAAACCAAGAAAAGUAAAAACAGAAAGAAAACUAUGGAUCAAUAUCCCUAAUGAACACGGAUGCAAAACAAGGUGGAAAUGAAGGGAAAAGACCUUAUGUAUAAAAAAGUAUUUAUAGCAGUUCUCUUUGUGGUGACAGAACCAACAAAAUGGAAACUAAGGGCGUGAGAAUGAUUUGGAGAAUGGGUAAACAAACAAUGCUAUUUGAAUGUGCUGUUAUUCAGCCAUUUUUCUGUCAUGUCGGAUUCUCUGUGACCCAGUUUGGGGUUUUCUUGGCAAAGAUACUGAUUGGCCAUUUCCUUCUCCAGCUCAUUUUACAGAUGAGGAAAUUGAGGCAAACAGGGUGAAGUGACUUGCCCAGGCUCACACAGUUAGUGUCUGAGGCUGGGUUUGACCUCAGGUUUACUUGACUCCAGUCCUGGCAUUCUAUCCAUUGCACAAUCUAAGGUGCCUUAUAUGAACACAGUGGAAUAUUACUGUGCAAGAAGAGAUGGCAAAGGGGAUACAUAGGGAAGAUGUGUAUGAACUGAUGCAGAGUGAAGUGAGCAAACCAGUAGAACCAUUUAUACAGUAAUAAUAAUUUUGUAAAGACAAAUUUGAAAGUCUUAAGAAAUUUGAUUAUUACAGUGAAUUACGAUACCAGUAGAACUAUGAUGAAACCUUCUGUCCAUUUUAUGACAGAGAGGUGAUACCUCAAAUUUUGUUUUGUUCAGUUAUGUCUUUAUUGCAAGAAUUUUGCUCUUUCCCCCCCAAAUAGGGUGGGAGAGGAGUAAAGUGGGGAAGAGAGAAAAUAGAUUUAUUUAACUGAAAAAGAACUAAACUUGAUUUUUAAAAAAGGAAACAGUAGGGAAGAUGGAUUGGUUAGGGGGAAAACUCAAAGGAAGACAACCAGUUUGGAGAUUGUUGCAGUAGCGUCUGCCAAAAGAAAGGAGGACCUGAAGAAGGGUGGUUAUAUCAGCACUGGAGGGAAAAGUGGGAGAGAUCUUUUCAAGGUUGAGAGCUUGGUAAUUAAUUGGAUAUGGGGCAGGGCUUAUCAGGAAUGGGUAAGAGUUCAGGUUCUGAGCUUACAAACCCGAGUGACUGUGAAGAUGGUGGUAGUGCUAUGAACAGAAAUCAAAGCCUUAUGGGAAAGCACAGGUUUGGGGAAAGAGGGAAGAUGUUCAAUUUGUGGUGCUGGCCGUAAGGAGCUCUGGGGAAAGAUCAUGGAUGGCUAUGCGGAUGUGAGUGUCAGUACUUAAACUGAAAAGAUGAGCAAAGUAGUUCCCCGAGGGAGAGAAUGGAGGAAGACUUAAGAGGAAAGUCCAGGAGAGAACCUUGCUGCAUAUCUCUAGUUUUAUAAUGGAAGGAGAAUAGAAAGUCAGCACAAGAAAGAAAUGGUCAGAGAGGGAGAAGGAACAUGGAGUACGGGGUAUCACCAGGGAAGAGAUGUUGGUGACUGAGGCCAAUAUACACACCGGCUACUUAUGGCCCAAGAAGGUCAAAGACAAAAAAGAAAAGCUCUGUAUAUCUCUGUAUAUAUAAUACUUGUCUUAUAUAUACUCUCUCUAUUCCCAAUAGCACUUCUGGUAGGACAAAAACUAGAAAUGAAGUGGAUGCCUAGUGGUAGGUGACAAAUUGCUGUCUAAAUUGUGGCAGGUAAAUGGGAGAGGUAUGAAUUAUGGCCCCAAAAUAAGAAGCAGGAGGAAUUCCAAGCAACACAAUCCAGGGCACAUUAGUGCGUGCUAGGGAUACAAAAGCAGAUGAGAUAGUCCUUACCUCCAAGUUAUCUGGAUUCUGUUGAGGAGCUGCAUAUAACCUGUACACAUUCACCAUGACAAUCUAGACUCAAAAUCAAUCCAGGGACUAAGGACUGGGGAAAUCAUCAGGGGAGAGAUCUCUUGAAGGAGAAGGCAUUUGACCUGAACCUUAAAGGGAAGGAAAAGUCCCAAUUACUAGAGGUGAUUCCAGACAUGGGGUGACUUUCACUGUACAGAAGAAUGAAGGUGGAAGGGAGAGGGUCCAGUAAAUCAGCUUGGUUGUAGUGGAGAAUGCUGUGGGAGGAGCAAGAUACAGUCAGUUUGUAGUGUUCCUGACAAUUUUGCAAUUUAUCCCAAAGGCAAUAGCAUCCACCAGGGUUUCUGUACGGAGAUUAGUCCUGUCCUUACUAAUCCAGAUCCCUGCCUCAUAGUUGCCUGACCCCUUCUACAUUUAAGGAAUCAGCAUGGGAUAGUUGAAAGCUUGAACUAGGGUGUCUGUGGUGUGCAUGGAGGGAAGGGGUGGUGGUGGGGGUGACAUUGAUGAAAUUUAAAGUAAUUGGAUAUGAGGAGUGAGUGAACUGAGUGAAGGGCCAAGGAAGACUCCUAGCUUGGAAACCCGGAAAUGAGAAAAUGCUGAAGAUGGCUUGUAAAUUGCCAAACAUGGGAAGACUUGUUGGAACUGAGAAGAAGUGAAGAAAGUUGAACAGAAGAACAUACCCGAUGACUACAAUAAUGUCAACAAAAGCCAGCACUAAAGGACAUUAGAACAUGGAGGAGAUCCGGCACCAGAGGAUGGAACCCAGGACAUCUCAAAGCAGAAAUGGAGACUUCAGAAUUUACCAAGACUGGAAAAAUCAUCAAAUAUGGAAACCUGGUUUCUUCAAUCUACAGAAGAGCUCCAAGAUCUGCAGCCAGGGAAUGGACACCAGCAUGAGAACAUAAGUCCCAGAAAACACCUUUUGUAGCUCCGUGGGCCUGUGGUCGCCAUUAUCAUCAUCAUUGUCGACAUUAUUGUUGUCCUCGUCGUCGUCCUCAUCCUCGUCGUCACUGCUCCAUGCUGUCUGGACCAGAGUGAUCCUUCUUUGUAAUCCAAAGUCAAAUCUACAGAGAAAGCAUGGCCCAUGGUCACAAAGGGACAUUGCUGCUGCUGCUCAACACUGCCAGUGCCAUUAGAAUUCUAAAUUACUUGAGAAUGCCUCAUGGAUUUGGGCAAGUUCUCUUUCGUUUUCCAGUCUAUGAACUCCCCAGAGAUUCAAUCCAGUUGUUCUGGGUUUCCAUUUUCCCUAAAGUGAAGCCUUUACAUCUCGGAAAACUUUGACAGAAAGCUAAGAGCAAGACUCAAGAAUAGAACCCAGCAUUCCUAGCUAUUGCAUCCAGUGUUCAAUCAUAUUAACAAUUUCUUGAAAGAAACACUACUAAAUUAUGAUCAUGGCUGGCCAGCUCAGACAUAUUCUUCAAGUGUAAUUGAUAAAGAAUACUCAGGUGAAUUUGUGGAAGUAGAUCACUGCUUCCUCCUAAUCUUCCCUAGUGCUCCUCUUUUGGGGAACUGUUUUAAUUUGUUUCAGGAGUGGAAGUUCUUGCACCCCCUAAAAAACCCCAAGAUGGUGGAACAGAGAGAACAUUCCAGUGGAACUCUACCAACUUGCCUUUCCAAAAAACUUGAAAAUAUCAAAUAAUCAAAUUCUGAAGUGCCAUACAAAGAAAAAGUUUGUCCAGCUGAAAAAAAUGUUUGAGGUGAGGAGAAGUUUGGGUCACUGGCUCAGAAGGCAAAGGGAAGGGCACUUACUAUGGAUCUUGGAGGACGGGAGGCACAGUGAUAGCUGCAGGAAUAGUUGUCACAUUUCUUAAAGUUUUCACUGCCAAGAAACCAAGUAUUAGACAACUGCUAAAAAGGUGAUUAGGGGCAGCUCUGUGUGGGCACGGUAGACAUUACCAGUUUCACACAAAGGGGGAGAGAGGCCAAUGCCAUCACAAAAAACUGGUGGUAACACCUGGAGCUCCAGAGUGAAGACGAUCACUUGUUAUCACAAGUAAACACAUUCCCUGCUACUGCUCCAGGGUGAAGAGGAGCACCUGCCAGCAUGAUGACAAGGAAGAGGAAGUCCCCCCUGCAGCUACUAGGUGAAGAGACCUUGCUAUAACAAAAAAAGCAAUAGUCCCAGCUGCAUCUCAGGGGUGCAUAGAGGCCUUUCCCAUUACAACAAAGCAGAGGUAUCGGCUGCAGUUCCAGUUUGAAGAAGACCACUUUCCCAUCACAAGUAACCAGAAGUCCCAGCUGUGGGUCCAGGGUGAGGAAGAGCACUUGUCAUCACAAUUAAUCAGAAGUCCCUGCUGCUGCUCCAGGGUGAAGAACAACAGUUGCCACCACAAGUUACCAGAAGUCCCUGAUGCUGCUCCAGGGUGAAGAGGAGCACUUGCCAUCACAAGUAACUAGAAUUCCCUGUAACAAGCUCCAGGGUGAAGAGGAGCACUUGCCAUCACAAGCAAGUAGUGGUCCCAGCUGCAGCCAUGGGACGGAGAGAGGGCUUUGGCAUCACAACAAACCAGAGGUCCCAGUUGCAGCUCCAGUUAGAAGAAAAACACUUUGCAUCACAAGUCACCAGAAUUCCCAGCUGCGGGUCCAGGGUGAAGAAAAGAACUUGCCAUCACAAGUAGCCAGAAGUCCCUGCUGCUGCUCCAGGGGGAAGAGGAGAACUUGCCAUCAAAAUGAAGCAGAGGUCCCAGCUGCAGCUCUGGGGUGGAGAGAGGCCUUUGUCAUCACAACCAAGCAGAGGUCCCAGCUGCAGUUUGCAUUUGAAGAACACUUCCCAUCAUCACAAGAAACCAGAAGUCCCUGCUGCUACUCCAGGGUGAAGAAGAACAAUUGCCAUUACAAGUUACUAGAAGUACCUGCUGCAGCUCCAGGGAGAAGAGGAAGACUUGCCAUCACAAGUAACCAGAAGGCCCAGCUGCAGCUACUGGGUGAAGACCAAUUGCCAUCACAAAAAUGGAAAGAACGCAGCUGAAGCUCCAGGGUAGAGAGAGGCCUUUGCCAUCAAACCCAUGUAGAGGUCUCAGUUACAGCUCCAGGAUACAGAGAGGCCUUUGCCAUCACAACCAAGCAGAGGUACCAGCUGCAGAUCCAGGAUGGAGAGAGGCCUUUGCCAUCACAACCUAGCAGAGUUCUAAGCUGCAGCUCCCGUUGGAAGAAGAAAACUUGCCAUAACAAAUAACGGGAAAUCCCAGCUGCAGGUCCAGUGUGACGAAAAGAAAUUGCCAUCACAAGUUACCAAAAGUCCCUGCUGCUGCUCCACAGUGAAGCGGAAAACUGGCCACCACAAGUAACCAGAAGUCCCUGCUGCAGCUCCAGGGUGAAGAGCAACACUUGCCAUCACAAGUUACCAGAAGUCCUUGAUGCUGCUCCAGGGUGAAGAACAGCAGUUGCCAUCACAAGUUACAAGAAGUCCCUGCUGCUGCUCUAGGGUGAAGAUGAACACUUGCCAUCACAAGUUACCAGAAGUCCCUGCUUCUGCUCCACAAUGAAGAGGAACACUUGCCAUCACAAGUUAGCAGAAAUCUUUCCUGCAGCUACUGGUUGAAGAAGACCAAUUGCCCUAAGAAAAAUGCAGAGGACGCAGCUGCAGCUUAGGGAUGCAGAGAGGCCUUUGCCAUCACAACUAAGCAGAUGUGCAAGCUGCAACUCCCGUUUGAAGAGGAACACUUCCUAUCACCAAUAACUGGAAGUCCCAGGGCAAGGUCCAGUGUGAUGAAAAGAACUUGCUAACACAAGUAACCAGAAGUCCCUGCUGCUGCUCCAGGGUGAAGAGGAACACUUGUCAUCACAAGUAACCAGAAGUCACUGCUGUUGUCCAAGGGUGAAGACGAACACUUGCCAACACAAGUUAACAGAAGUCCCUGCUGCGGCUCCAGGGUGAACAGGACCACUUGCCAUCAAAAGUUACCAGAAGUCCCUGCUGCAGCUCCUUGGUGAAGAGGACCACUUGCCAUCACAAGUUACCAGAAGUCCCUGCUGCAGCUACAGGGUGAACAGGACCACUUGCCAUCAAAAGUUACCAGAAGUCCCUCCUGCAGUUCCAGGGUGAAGAGGAACACUUGCCAUCACAAGUUACCAGAAGUCCUUGAUGCUGCUCCAGGGUGAAGAACAACAGUUGCCAUCACAAGUUACAAGAAGUCCCUGCUGCUUAUCCAGAGUGAAGAUGAACACUUGCCAUCACAAGUUACCAGAAGUCCCGGCAGCAGCUGCAGGGUGAAGAGGAUCACUUGCCAUCAAAAGUUACCAGAAAUCUUUCCUGCAGCUACUGGGUGAAGAAGACCAAUUGCCCUAAGAAAAAUGCAGAGGACUCAGCUGCAGCUUAGGGAUGGAGAGAGGCCUUUACCAUCACAACUAAGCAGAUGUGCAAGCUGCAACUCCCGUUUGAAGAAGAACACUUCGUAUCACCAAUAACUGGAAGUCCCAGCGGCAGGUCCAGUGUGAUGAAAAGAACUUGCCACCACAAGUAACCAGAAGUCCCUGCUGCUGCUCCAGGGUGAAGAGGAACACUUGUCAGCACAACUUACCAGAAAUCCUUGCUGUAGCUCCAGGGUGAAGAAGACCACGUGUGACCACAAGUACCCAGAAGUCCCUGCUGCUGUUCUAGGGUGACGAGGAACACUUAUGACGCCAAGUAACCAGAAGUCCCUGCUGCUGCUCCAGGGUGAAAGGGAACACUUGCCAGCACAACUUACCAGAAGUCCCUGCUGCAGCUCCAGGGUAUAGAGGAACACUUGCCAGGUCAACUUACCAGAAGUCCCUGCUGCUGCUCCAGGGUGAAGAGGAACACUUGCCAGCAUAACUUACCAGAAGUCCCUGCUGCUGCUCCAGGGUGAAGAGGAAUACUUGCCAGCACAACUUACCAGAAGUCCCUUCUGCAGUUCCAGGGUGAAGAGGAACACUUGCCAUCACAAGUUACAAGAAGUCCCUGCUGCUUAUCCAGAGUGAAGAUGAACAUUUGCCAUCACAAGUUACCAGAAGUCCCUGCUGCAGCUCCCGGGUGAAGAGGACCACUUGCCAUCAAAAGUUACCAGAAAUCUGUCCUGCAGCUACUGGGAGAAGAAGACCAGUUGCCCUAAGAAAAAUGCAGAGGAUGCAGCUGCAGCUUAGGGUGUAGAGAGGCCUUUGCCAUCACAACAAAGAAACUGUCUCAGCUGCAGCUCCACGAUGGAGAGAGGCCUUUGCAAUCACAACUACACAGAUGUCCCAGCUGCAGCUUAUGGGUGGAGGGAGGCCUUUGCCAUCACAACUAAGCAGAGGUCUAAGCUGCAGCGCCCAUUUGAAGAAUAACACUUCCUAUCACCAACAACUGUAAGUCACAGUUGCAGGUCCAGUGUGACGAAAAGAACUUUCCACCACAAGUAACCAGAAGUCCCUGCUGCUGCUCCACAGUGAAGAGGAAGACUUGCCAUCACAAGUUAACAGAAGUCCCUGCUGCAGCUCCAGGGUGAAGAGUAACACUUGCCAUCACAAGUUAACAGAAGUCCUUGAUGCUGCUCCAGGGUGAAGAGUAACACUUGCCAUCACAAGUUAACAGAAGUCCUUGAUGCUGCUCCAGGGUGAAGAACAACAGUUGCCAUCACAAGUUAUAAGAAGUCCCUGCUGCUGCUCCAGGGUGAAGAUGAACACUUGCCAUCACAAGUUACCAGAAGUCCCUGCUACAGCUCCAGGGUGAAGAGGAACACUUGCCAUCACAAGUUACCAGAAGUCCCUGCAGCAGCUCCAGGGUGAAGAGGACCACUUGCCAUCACAAGUUACCAGAAGUCCCUGCUGCAGCUACAGGGUGAACAGGACCACUUGCCAUCAAAAGUUACCAGAAAUCUUUCCUGUAGCUACUGGGUGAAGAAGACCAAUUUCCCUAAGAAAAAUGCAGAGGACGCAGCUGCAGCUUAGGGGUGGAGAGAGGUCUUUGCUAUCAAAACAAAGUAGAGGUCUCAUUUAUCGCUCCAGGAGAGAAUGAGCCCUUUGCCAUCAGAACUACGCAGAUGGCCCAAGUGUAGCUUAGAAGUGGAGAGACCCCUUGGCCAUCACAACUAAACAGAGGUCCAAGCUGCAGCAACCGUUUGAAGAAGAACACUUCCUAUCACCAAUAACUUGAUGUCCCAGCUGCAGGUCCAUUGUGACAAAAAGAACUUGCCACCACUAGUAACCAGAAGUCCCUACUACAGCUCCAGGGUGAAGAGGAACAGUUGCCAGCACAACUUACCAGAAGUCCCUGCUACAGCUCCAGGGUGAAGAGGAACACUUGCCAGCACAACUUACCAGAAAGUUGUAGCUCCUUGCUGUAGCUCCAGGGUGAAGAAGACCACGUGUGACCACAAGUACCCAGAAGUGCCUGCUGCUGCUCUGGGGUGACAAGGAACACUUAUGACCCCAAGUAACCAGAAGUCCCUGCUGCCGCUACAGGGUGAAGAGAAACACUUGUCAUCACAAGUAACCAGAAAUCCCUGCUGCUGCCCUAGGCUGAAAAGGAACACUUGCCAACACAACUUACCAGAAGUCCCUGCUGCUGCUCCAGGGUGAAGAGGAAUACUUGCCAGCACAACUUACCAGAAGUCCCUGCUGCUGCUCCAGGGUGAAGAGGAACACUUGUGACCCCAAGUAACCAGAAGUCCCUACUGCCGCUGCUGGGUGAAGAGAAAAACUUGUCAUCACAAGUAAGCAGAAGUCCCUGCUGGAGCUCCAGGGUGAAGAGGACCACUUGCCAUGGAAUGUUAGCAGAAAUCGUUCCUGUAACUACUGGGUGAAGAAGACCAAUUGCCCUAAAAAAAAUGCAUAGGACACAGCUGCAGCUUAGGGUUGAGAGAGGCCUUUGCCAUCACAACUACAUAGAAGUGCCAGCUGCAGCUUAUGGGUGGAAGUAGGCCAUUCCCAUCACAACUAAGCGGAGGUCCAAGCUGUAGCUCCCGUUUGAGGAACACUUCCUAUCUCCAAUAACUGGACGUCCCACCUGUAGGUCCAGUGUGACGAAAAGAAUUUGCCACCACAAGUACCCAGAAUCCCUGCUGCUGCUCAAGGGUGAAGAACAACUGUUGCCAUCACAAGUUACCCUGAAGUCCCUGCUGCCGCUCCAGGGUGAAGAGGAACACUAGUCAACACAAGUAGCCAGAAAUCCCUGCUGCUGCUCCAGGGUGAAGAGAAACACUUUUCAUCACAAGUAACCAGCAAUCCCUGCUGCUGCUCCAGGUUGAAGAGGAACACUUGCCAGCACAACUUAACAGAAGUCCCUACUGCCGCUCCAGGGUGAAGAGGAACACUUGCCAUCACAACUUGCCAGAAGUCCCUUCUGCAUCUCCAGGGUGAAGAGGAACACUUCCCAUCACAAGUUAUUAUAAGUCCCUGUUGCAGCUCCAGGGUGAAGAGGAACACUUGCCAUCACAUGUUGUCAGAAGUCCCUUCUUAAGCUCCAGGGUGAAGAGGAAUAAUUGCGAACAUAAGUACCCCUAAUUCCUGCUGCUGCUCGAGGGCGAAGAACAACUGUUGCCAUCAGAUGUUGCCUGAAGUCCCUGCUGCCGCUCCAGGGUGAAGAGGAACACUUCUGACCACAAGUAACCAAAAGUCCCUGCUGCAGCUCUAGGGUGAAGAAGAACAUUUCUGACCACAAGUAACCAAAAGUCCCUGCUGCAGCUCCAGGGUGAAGAGGAACACUUGCCAUCACAAGUAACGAGAAAUCCCUGCUGCUGCUCCAGGGUGAAGAACAACAGUUGCCAUCACAUGUUGCCAGAAGUCCCUGCUGUUGGUCCAGGUUGACGACGAACACUUUUGAUCACAAGUAACCAGAAGUCCCUGCUGUAGUUCCAGGGUGAAGAGGAACACUUGUGAACAGAAGUACCCAGAAGUCCCUGCUGCUGCUCCAGGGUGAAGACGAACAAUUGUCAUCACAAGUAACCAGAAGUCCCUGCUGCGGCUCCAGGGGGAAGAGGACCACGUGCCAUGAAAUGUUACCAGAAAUCUUUCCUGAAGCUACUGGGUGAAGAAGACCAAAUUCCCUAAGAAAAAUGCAGAAGACACAGCUGCAGCUUAGGGGUGGAGAGAGGCCUUUGAUAUCACAACAAAUCAAAGGUCUCAGUUGCAGCUCUGGGUUGGACUGAGGUCUUUGCUAUCACAACCUAGCAGAGGUCUCAUUUACUGCUCCAGGAUAGAACGAGGCCUUUGCCAUCACAACUACGCAGACGUCCCAACUGCAGCUUAGGGGUGGAGAGAGGCCUUUGCCAUCCCAACCAAGUAAAGGUCCAAGCUGCAGCUCCCCUUUGAAGAAGAACACUUCCUAUCACCAAUAACUAGACGUCCCAGCUGCAUGUCCAGUGUGAGAAAAAGAACUUGCCAACACAAGUAACCAGAAAUCCCUGGUGCUGCUCCAGGGUGAAGAACAACAGUUGCCAUCACAACUUGCCGAAGUCCCUGCUGCUGCUCGAGGGUGAAGACAAACACUUGUCAUCACAAGUAACCAGAGUUCCCUGCUGCAGCUCCAGGGUGAAGACGAACAGUUGUCAUCACAAGUACCCAGAAGUCCCUGCUGCUGCUCCAGGGUGACGAACAAUAGUUGCCAUUAAAAGUUGCCUGAAGUCCCUGCAGCUUUUCCAAGGUGAAGAGGAACUCUUGCCAUCACAAGUUACCAGAAGUCCCGGCUGCUGCUCCAAGGUGAAGAGGACCACGUGCCCUGAAAUCUUUUCUGAAACUACUGGGUGAUGAAGAUUAAAUUCCCUAAGAAAAAUGCAGAAGACACAUCUGCAGCUUACGGGUGGAGAGAGGCCUUUGAUAGCACAACAAAUCAGAGGUCGCAGUUGCACCUCUGGGUUGGACAGAGGUCUUUGCUAUCACAACCUAGCAGAGGUCUCAUUUACCGCUCCAGGAUAGAACGAGGCCUUUGCCAUCACAACUACGCAGACUUCCCAACUCCAGCUUAGGGGUGGAGAGAGGUCUUUGCCAUCACAACUAAGCAGAGGUCCAAGCUGCACCUCCUGUUUGAAGAACACUUCCUAUCACCAAUAACUAAAUGUCCCAGCUGCAGGUCCAGUGUGAAGAAAAGAACUUGCCUCCACAAGUAACAAGAAGUCCCUCCUGCUGCUCCAGGGUGAAAAACAAUAUUUGCCAUCACAAGUUGCCAGAAGUCCCUGCUGCUGCUUCAGGGUGAAGAGGAACACUUGUGACCACAAGUACCCAGAAAUCCCUGCUGCUACUCCAUGGUGAAGAACAACAGUUGCCAUCACAAGUAAUCAGAAGUCCCUGCUGUACCUCCAGGGUGAAGAGGAACACUUGUGAUCACAAGUAACCAAAAGUCCCUCCUGCAGCUCCAAGGUGAAGAGGAACAACUUGCCAUCAAAAGUUACCAGAAGGCCCUGCUGUAGCUCCAGGGUGAAGAGGAAAAGUUGUGACCACAAGUACCCAGAGGUCCCUGCUGCUGCUCCAGGGUGAAGAGGAACACUUGUGACCCCAAGUAACCAGAAGUCCCUGCUGCCGCUACAGGGUGAAGAGAAACACUUGUCAUCACAAGUAACCAGAAAUCCCUGCUGCUGCCCUAGGUUGAAAAGGAACACUUGCCAGCACAACUUACCAGAAGUCCCUGCUGCAGCUCCAGGGUAUAGAGGAACAAUUGCCAGGUCAAUUUACCAGAAGUCCCUGCUGCUGCUCUAGGGUGAAGAGGAACACUUGCCAGCACAACUUACCCGAAGUCCCUGCUGCAGCUCCAGCGUAUAGAGGAACACUUGCCAGGUCAACUUACCAGAAGUCCCUGCUGCUGCUCCAGGGUGAAGAGGAACACUUGUGACCCCAAGUAACCAGAAGUCCCUGAAGCCGCUACAGGGUGAAGAGAAACACUUGUCAUCACAAGUAACCAGAAAUCCCUGCUGCUGCUCCAGGUUGAAGAGGACCACUUGCCAUCAAAUGUUAGCAGAAAUCUUUCCUGUAACUACUGGGUGAAGAAGACCAAUUGCCCUAAGAAAAAUGCAUAGGACAGAGCUGAAGCUUAGGGUUGAGAGAGGCCUUUGCCAUCACAACUACAUAGAUGUGCCAGCUGCAGCUUAUGGGUGGAAGGAGGCCAUUCCCAUCACAACUAAGCAGAGGUCCAAGCUGUAGCUCCUGUUUGAAGAACACUUCCUAUCUCCAAUAACUGGACGUCCCACCUGUAGGUCCAGUUUGACGAAAAGAACUUGCCACCACAAGGAACCAGAAGUCCCUGCUGCAUCUCCAGGGUGACGAGGAAUACUUGUGACCACAAGUACCCAGAAUCCCUGCUGCUGCUCAAGGGCAAAGAACAACUGUUGCCAUCACAAGUUACCCUGAAGUCCCUGCUGCCACUCCAGGGUGAAGAGGAACACUAGUCAACACAAGUAGCCAGAAGUCCCUCCUGCUGCUCCAGGGUGAAGAGGAACACUUGCCAUCACAACUUGCCAGAAGUCCCUGCUGCAGCUCCACGGUGAAGAGGAACACUUGCCAUCACAUGUUGUCAGAAGUCCCUUCUUAAGCUCCAGGGUGAAGAGGAAUAAUUGCGACCAUAAAUACCCCUAAUUCCUGCUACUGCUCGAGGGCAAAGAACAACUGUUGCCAUCACAUGUUGCCUGAAGUCCCUGCUGCCGCUCCAAGGUGAAGAGGAACACUUGUGACCACAAGUACGCAGAAGUCCCUGCUGCUGCACCAGGGUGAAGAAAAACAGUUGCCAUUACAAGUUGCCAGAAGUCCCUGCUGCACCUCCAGGGUGAAGAGGAACACUUGUGACCACAAGUAACCAGAAGUCCUUGCUGCAGCUCCAGGGUGAAGAGGAACACUUGCCAUCACAAGUAACGAGAAAUCCCUGCUGCUGCUCCAGGGUGAAGAACAACAGUUGCCAUCACAUGUUGCCAGAAGUCCCUGCUGCUGGUCCAGGGUGACGACAAACACUUUUGAUCACAAGUAACCAGAAGUCCGUGCAUUAGUUCCAGGGUGAAGAGGAACAUUUGUGAACAGAAGUACCCAGAAGUCCCUGUUGCUGCUCCAGGGUGAAGAAGAACACUUGUGACCACAAGUAUCCCAAAGUCUCUGCUGCUGCUCCAGGGUGAAGACGAACAAUUGUCAUCACAAGUAACCAGAAGUCCCUGCUGUAGCUCCAGGGUGAAGAGGAACACUUGUGACCACAAGUACCCAGAAGUCCCUGCUGCUGCUCCAGGGUGAAGAACAACAGUUGCCAAUACAAGUUGCCUGAAGUCCCUGCUGCUGCUCCAAGGUGAAGAGGACCACGUGCCAUGAAAUGUUACCAGAAAUCUUUCCUGAAGCUACUGGAUGAAGAAGACCAAAUUCCCUAAGAAAAAUGCAGAAGACACAGCUGGAGCUUAGAGGUGUAGAGAGUCCUUUGAUAUCACAACAAAUCAAAGGUCUCAGUUGCAGCUCUUGGUUGGACUGAGGUCUUUGCCAUCACAACCUAGCAGAGGUCUCAUUUACUGCUCCAGGACAAAACGAGGCCUUUGCCAUCACAACUACGCAGACGUCCCAACUGCAGCUUAGGGGUGGAGAGAGGCCUUUGCCAUCCCAACCAAGUAAAGGUCGAAGCUGCAGUUACCCCUUUGAAGAAGAACACUUCCUAUCACCAAUAACUAGACGUCCCAGCUGCAUGUCCAGUGUGACAAAAAGAACUUCCCAACACAAGUAACCAGAAAUCCCUGGUGCUGCUCCAGGGUGAAGAACAACAGUUAACAUAACAUAUAACCAGAAGUCCAUGCUGCUACUCCAUGGUGAAGAACAACAGUUGCCAUCACAAGUUGCCAGAAGUCCCUGCUGCUGCUCGAGGGUGAAGACGAACACUUAUCAUCACAAGUAACCAGAAGUCCCUGCUGCAGCUCCAGGGUGAAGUCGAACAGCUGUAAUCACAAGUACCCAGAAGUCCCUGCUGCUGCUCCAGGGUGACGAACAAUAGUUGCCAUUACAAGUUGCCUGAAGUCCUUGUAGCUUUUCCAACGUGAAGAGGAACUCUUGCUAUCAGAAGUUAGCAGAAGUCCCGGUGGUAGCUCCAAGGUGAUGAGGAACACUUGUCAUCACAAGUACCCAGAAGUCCCUGCUGCUGCUCUAGGGUGAAGAAUAACAGUUUCCAUUACAAGUUGACUAAAGUCCCUGCUGCUGUUCCAAGGUGAAGAGGACCAUGUGCCCUGAAAUCUUUUCUAAAUCUACUAGGUGAUGAAGACUAAAUUCCCUAAGAAAAAUGCAGAAGACACAGCUGCAGCUUACGGGUCGAGAGAGGCCUUUGAUAGCACAACAAAUCAGAGGUCGCAGUUGCACCUCUGGGUUGGACAGAGGUCUUUGCUAUCACAACGUAGCAGAGGUCUCAUUUACCGCUCCAGGAUAGAACGAGGCCUUUGCCAUCACAACUAAGCAGAGGUCCAAGCUGCACCUCCCAUUUGAAGAAUACUUCCUAUCACCAAUAACUAAAUGUCCCAGCUGCAGGUCCAGUGUGAAGAAAAGAACUUGCCUCCACAAGUAACCAAAAGUCCCUCCUGCUGCUCCAGGGUGAAAAACAAUAUUUGCCAUCACAAGUUGCCAGAAAUCCCUGGUGCUACUCCAGGGUGAAGAACAAUAGUUAACAUAACAUGUAACCUGAAGUCCCUGCUGCUGCUUCAGGGUGAAGAGGAACACUUGUGACCACAAGUACCCAGAAAUCCCUGUUGCUACUCCAUGGUUAAGAACAACAGUUACCAUCACAAGUUGCCAGAAGUCCCUGCUGUUGCUCCAGGGUGAAGAGGAACACAUGUGAUCACAAGUAACCAAAAGUCCCUCCUGCAGCUCCCAGGUGAAGAGGAACACUUGCCAUCAAAAGUUACCAGAAGUCCCUGCUGCAGCUCCAGGGUGAAGACGAACAUUUGUCAUCACAAGUAAUCAGAAGUCCCUGCUGUAGCUCCAGGGUGAAGAGGAACACUUGUGAGCAAAAGUACGCAGAAGUCCCUGCUGCUGCUGCAGGGUGAAGAGGAACACUUGUGACCACAAGUAACCAGAAUUCCCUGCUGAUGCUCUAGGGUGAAGAGGAAUACUUGUCAUCACAUGUUACCAGAAGUUCCUGCUGCAGGUCCAGGGUAAAGACGAACACUUGUGACCAUAAGUACCCAGAAGUCCCUGCUGCUGCUCCAGGGUGAAGAACAACAGUUUCCAUUACAAGUUCCCUGAAGUCCCUGCUGCUGCUCCAAGGUGAAGAAGACCACCUGCCAUGAAAUGUUACUAGAAAUCUUACCGGAAGCUACUAGGUGAAUAUGACCAAAUUCCCUAAGAAAAAUGCAGAAGACGCAGCUGCAGCUUAGGGGUGGAGAGAGGCCUUUGCCAUCACAACCAAGCAGAGGUCCAAGCUGCAGCUCCUGUUUGAAGAAGAACCCUUCCUAUCACCAAUAACUGGACAUCACAGCUGCAGGUCCAGUGUAAAGAAAAGAACUUGCCUCCACAAGUAUCGAGAAGUCCCUCCUGCUGCUCCAGGGUGAAGAACAACUGUUGCCAUCAAAAGUUACCAGAAGUCCCUGCUGCAGCUCCAGGGUGAAGACGAACAUUUGUCAUCACAAGUAAUCAGAAGUCCCUGCUGUAGCUCCAGGGUGAAGAGGAACACUUGUGAGCAAAAGUACCCAGAAGUCCCUGCUGCUGCUGCAGGGUGAAGAGGAACACUUGUGACCACAAGUACCCAGAAGUCCCUGCUGCUGCUGCAGGGUGAAGAGGAACACUUGUGACCACAAGUAACCAGAAUUCCCUGCUGACGCUCUAGGGUGAAGAGGAAUACUUGUCAUCACAUGUUACCAGAAGUUCCUGCUGCAGGUCCAGGGUAAAGACGAACACUUGUGACCAUAAGUACCCAGAAGUCCCUGCUGUACCUCCAGGGUGAAGAACAACAGUUUCCAUUACAAGUUCCCUGAAGUCCCUGCUGCUGCUCCAAGGUGAAGAAGACCACCUGCCAUGAAAUGUUACUAGAAAUCUUACCGGAAGCUACUAGGUGAAGACGACCAAAUUCCCUAACAAAAAUGCAGAAGACGCAGCUGCAGCUUAGGGGUGGAGAGAGGCCUUUGCCAUCACAACAAAGCAGAGGUCCAAGCUGCAGCCCCUGUUUGAAGAAGAACCCUUCCUAUCACCAAUAACUGGACAUCACAGCUGCAGGUCCAGUGUAAAGAAAAGAACUUGCCUCCACAAGUAUCGAGAAGUCCCUCCUGCUGCUCCAGAGUGAAGAACAACUGUUGCCAUCACAAUUUGCCAGAAGCCCCUGCUACUGCUCCAGGGUGAAGAGGAACACUUGUGACGACAAGUAACCAGAAGUCCCUGCUGACGCUCUAGGUUGAAGAGGGAUACUUGCCAUCACAAGUUACCAGAUGUCCCUGCUGCAGCUCCAGGGUGAAGAGCAACACUUGCCAUCAAAGGUUACCAGAAAUCUUUCCUGUAGCUACUGGGUGAAGAAGACCAAUUACCCCAAGAAAAAUGCAGAGGACGCAGCUGCAGAUUAAGGGUGGAGAGAGGCCUUUUCUAUCAAAACAAAGCAGAGAUCUCAGCUGCAGCUCCAAGAUGGAGAGAGGCGUUUUCCAUCACAACUACAUAGAUGUCCCAGCUGCAGCUUAAGGAUGGAUGUAGGCCUUUGCUAUCACAACUAAGCAGAAGUCCAAGCUGCACCUCCCGUUUGAAGAAAAACACUUCAUAUUCCCCAUAACUAUACGUCCCAGUUGCAUGUCCAGUGUGACAAAAAGAUCUUGCCACCACAAGUAACCAGAAGUCCCUGGUACUGCUCCAGGGUGAAGAACAACAGUUAACAUAACAUGUAAGCAGAAGUCCCUGCUGCUACUCCAGGGUGAAGAACAACAGUUGUCAUCACAAGUAACCAGAAGUCCCUGCUGCUGCUCCAGGGUGAAGAACAACAGUUACCAUUACAAAUUGCCUGAAGUCCCUGCUGCUGCUCCAAGGUGAGGAGGAACACUUGCCAUCACAAGUUACCAGAAGUCCCUGAUGUAGCUCCAGGGUGAAGAGGAACACUUGUGAUCACAAGUUACCAGAAGUCCCUGCUGCUGCUCCAAGGCGAAGAGGAUGACUUGUGACCACAAGUACCCAGAAAUCCCUGCUGCUGCUCCAGGGUGAAGAACAACAGUUGCCAUUACAAGUUGCCUGAAGUACCUGCUGCUGCUCCCAGGUGAAGAGGAACACUUGCCAUCACAAGGUACCAGAAGUCACAGCUGUAGGUCCAGGGUGAAGAGGAACACUUGUGAUCACAAGUUACCAGAAGUCCCUCCUGCUGCUUCAGCGUGAAGAACAACAGUUUCCAUUACAAGUUGCCUGAAGUCCCUGCUGCUGCUCCAAGGUGAAGAGGACCACGUGCCAUGAAAGGUUACUAGAAAUCUUUCCUGAAGCUAGUGGGUGAAGAAGACCAAAUUCCCUAAGAAAAAUGCAGAAGAUACAGCUGUAGCUUAGGGGUGGAGAGAGAAGGCUUUGAUAUCAUAACAAAUCAGAGGUCUCAGUUGCAGCUCUGGGUUGGACAGAGGUCUUUGCUAUCGCAACCUAGCAGAGGUCUCAUUUACCAUUUCAGGAUAGAACGAGGCCUUUGCCAUCACAACUACGCAGACGUCUCAACUGCAGCUUAGGGGUGGAGAGAGGCCUUUGCCAUCACAACUAAGCACAGGUCUCAGCUGCAGUUCUAGGAAGUAGAGACACCUUUGCCAUCACAACCAAGAAGCUGUCUCAGCUGCAGCUCCAAGAUGGAGAGAGGCCUUUGCCAUCACAACUAAGCAGAAGUCCAAGCUGCACCUCCCGUUUGAAGAAGAACACUUCCUAUCACCAAUAAGUAGAUGUCCCAGCUGCAGGUCCAGUGUGAAGAAAAGAACUUGCCUCCACAAGUAAUGAGAAGUCCCUCCUGCUGCUCCAGGGUGAAAAACAACAUUUGCCAUCAUAAGUUGCCAGAAGUCCCUGCUGUAGCUCCAGGUUGAAGAGGAACACUUGUGACCACAAGUAAACAGAAGUCCCUGCUGCUGCUCCAGGGUGAAGAACAACAGUUGCCAUUACAAGUUGCCUGAAGUCCCUGCUGCUGCUCCAAGGUGAAGAGGAACACUUGCCAUCACAAGUUACCAAAAGUCCCUGCUGUAGCUCCAGGGUGAAGAGGAACACUUGUGAUCACAAGUUACCAGAAGUCCCUGUUGCUGCUCCAGGGUGAAGAGGAACAUUUGUGACCACAAGUAACCAGAAAUCCCUGCUGUAGCUCUAGGGUGAAUAGGACCAUUUGAAAUCAAAAGUUACCAGAUAUCUUUCCUGUAGCUACUUGGUGAAGAAGACGAAUUACCCCAAGAAAAUUGCAGAGGACGCAGCUGCAGAUUAGGGGUUGGAGAGAGGCCUUUGCUAUUAAAACAAAAGACGUCUCAGCUACAGCUCCAGGGAGGAGAGAGGCCUUUGCCAUCAGAAGAAAGCAGAGGUCUUAGCUGCAGUUCCAAGAUGGAGAGAGGCCUUUGCCAUCACACUAAGGAGAGGUCCAAGCAGCAACUCCCAUUUGAAGAAGAACACUUCCUAUCACCAAUAACUCGACAUCCCAGCUCCAUGUCCAGUGUGACAAAAAGAACUUGCCACCACAAGAACCCAGAAUUCCCUGCUCCUGCUCCAGGGUGAAGAACAACAGUUGCCAUCACCAGUUGCCAGAAGUCCCUGCUGCUGCUCCAGGGUGAAGAGGAACACUUGUGAUGACAAGUAACCAGAAGUCCCUACUGACGCUCCAGGGUGAAGAGGAAUACUUGCCAUCACACGUUACAAGAAGUCCCUGCUGUAGUUCCAGGGUGAAGAGGAACAUCUGUGACCACAAGUACCCAGAAGUCCCUGCUGCUGCUCCAGGGUGAAGAGUAACACUUGCUAUCACAACUUACCAGAAGUCCCUGCUGCUGCUCCAGGGUGAAGAACAACAGUUGCCAUUACACGUUGCCUGAUGUCCCUGCUGCAGCUCCAGGGUGAAGGGCAACACUUGCCAUCACAAGUUACCAGAAGUCCCUGCUGCAGCUCCAGGGUGAAGAGGAACACUUGUCAUCAAAAGUAUCCAGAAGUCCCUGCUGCUGCUCCAGGGUGAAGAGGAACACUUGUGACCACAAGUACCCAGAAGUCCCUGCUGCAGCUCCAGGGUGAAGAAUAACAGUUUCCAUUACAAGUUGACUAAAGUCCCUGCUGCUGCUCCAAGGUGAAGAGGACCACGUGCCAUGAAAUGUUGCCAGAAAUCUUUCCUGAAGUUACUGGGUGAAGAAGACCAAUUUCCCUAAGAAAAAUGCAGAAGAAAUAGCUGCAGGUUAGGGGUGGAGAGAGACCUUUGAUAUCACAACAAAUCAGAGGUCUCAGUUGCAGCUCUGGGUUGGACAGAGGUCUUUGCUAUCACAACCUAGCAUAGGUCUCAUUUGCUGCUCUAGGAAAGAAUGAGGCCUUUGCCAUCACAACUACUGAGACGUCCCAACUGCAGCUUAGGGGUGGAGAGAGGCCUUUGCCAUCACAACCAAGCAGAGGUCCAAGCUGCAGCUCCCGUUUGAAGAAGAACACUUACUAUCACCAAUAAAUGGACAUCAUAGCUGCGGGUCCAGUGUAAAGAAAAGUACUUGCCUCCAAAAGUAACCAGAAGUCCCUCCUGCUGCUCUAGGGUGAAGAACAACAGUUGCCAUCACCAGUUGCCAGAAGUCCCUGCUGCUGCUCCAGGGUGAAGAGGAACACUUGUGAUGACAAGUAACCAGAAGUCCCUACUGACGCUCCAGGGUGAAGAGGAAUACUUGCCAUCACAUGUUACCAGAUGUCCCUGCUGCAGCUCCAGGGUGAAGUGCAACACUUGCCAUCACAAGUUACCAGAAGUCCCUGCUGUAGCUCCAGGGUGAAGAGGAACAGUUGCCGUCACAAGUUACCAGAAGUCCCUGCUGCAGCUCCAGGGUGAAGAGCAACACUUGCCAUCACAAGUUCCCAGAAGUCCCUGCUGCAGCUCCAGGGUGAAGAGCAACACUUGCCAUCACAAGUUACCAGAAGUCCCUGCUGUAGCUCCAGGGUGAAGAGGAACACUUGCGCUCACAAGUUACCAGAAGUCCCUGCUGCUGCUGUAGGGUGAAGAAUAACAGUUGCCAUCACAAGUUGCCAGAAGUCCCUGCUGCUGCUGUAGGGUGAAGAAUAACAGUUGCCAUUACAAGUUGACUAUAGUCCUUGCUGCUGCUCCAAGGUGAAGAGGACCAGGUGCUAUGAAAUGUUACCAGAAAUCUUUACUGAAGCUAGUGGGUGAAGAAGACCAAUUUCCCUAAGAAAAAUGCAGAAGACACAGCUGCAGCUUAGGGGUGGAGAGAGGCCUUUGAUAUCACAACAAAUCAGAGGUCUCAGUUGCAGCGCUGGGUUGGACAGAGGUCUCUGCUAUCACACCCUAGCAGAGGUCUCAUAUACCGCUCCUGGACAGAACGAGGCCUUUGCCAUCACAACUACGCAGACGUCCCAAAUGGAACUUAGGGUUGGAAAGAGGCCUUUGCCAUCAAAACCAAGCAGAAGUACAAGCUGUACCUCCCGUUUGAAGAAGAACACUUCCUAUCACCAAUAACUGAACAUCACAGCUGCAGGUCCAAUGUGAAGAAAAGAACUUGCCUCCACAAGUAACCAGAAGUCCCUCCUCCUGCUCUAGGGUGAAGAACACCAGUUGCCAUCACAAUUUGCCACAAGUCCCUGCGGCUGCUCCAGGGUGAAGAACACUUGUGGUGACAAGUAACCAGAAGUUCCUGCUGAGGCUCCAGGGUGAAGAGGAACACUUGUGACCACAAGUACCCAGAAGUCCCUGCUGCUGCUCCAGGGUGAAGAACAACAGUUGCCAUUACAAGUUACCAGAAGUCCCUGCUGUAGCUCCAGGGUGAAGAGGAACACUUGUGACCACAAGUACCAGAAGUCCCUGCUGCUGCUCCAGGGUGAAGAAUAACAGUUUCCAUUACAAGUUGACUAAAGUCCCUGCUGCUGCUACAAGGUGAAGAGGACCACGUGCCAUGAAAUGUUGCCAGAAAUCUUUCUUGAAGCUAGUAGGUGAAGAAGACCAAUUUUGCUAAGAAAAAUGCAGAAGACACAGCUGCAGCUUAGGGGUGGAGAGAGGCCUUUGAUAUCACAACAAAUCAGAGGUCUCAGUUGCAGCUCUGGGUUGGACAGAGGUCUUUGCUAUCACACCCUAGCAGAGGUCUCAUAUACCGCUCCAGGAUAGAACGAGGCCUUUGCCAUCACAACUACGCAGACGUCACAACUGCAGCUUAGGGGUGGAGAGAGGCCUUUGCCAUCACAACCAAGCAGAGGUCCAAGCUGCAGCUCCCGUUUGAAGAAGAACACUUACUAUCACCAAUAACUGGACAUCACAGCUGCGGGUCCAGUGUGAAGAAAAGCACUUGCCUCCAAAAGUAACCAGAAGUCCCUCCUGCUGCUCUAGGGUGAAGAACAACAGUUGCCAUCACAAGUUGCCAGAAGUCCCUGCUGCUGCUCCAGGGUGAAGAGGAACACUUGUGAUGUCAAGUAACCAGAAGUCCCUGCUGACGCUCCAGGGUGAAGAGGAAUACUUGCCAUCACAAGUUACCAGAAGUCCCUGCUGCAGCUCCAGGGUGAAGAGCAACACUUGCCAUCACAAGUUACCAGAAGUCCCUGCUGUAGCUCCAGGGUGAAGAGGAACACUUGCGAUCACAAGUUACCAGAAGUCCCUGCUGCUGCUCUAGGGUGAAGAAUAACAGUUGCCAUCACAAUUUGCCAGAAGUCCCUGCGGCUGCUCCAGGGUGAAGAACACUUGUGGCGACAAGUAAACAGAAGUUCCUGCUGACGCUCCAGGGUGAAGAGGAACACUUGUGACCACAAGUACCCAGAAGCCCCUGCUGUAGCUCCAGGGUGAAGAGGAACACUUGUGACCACAAGUACCCAGAAGUCCCUGCUGCUGCUCCAGGGUGAAGAACAAGAUUUGCCAUUACAAGUUGCCUGAUGUACCUGCUGCUGCUCUAAGGGGAAGAGGAACACUUGGCGUCACAAGUUACCAGAAGUCCCUGCUGCUGCUCCAGGGUGAAGAACAACAGUUGCCAUUACAAGUUACCAGAAGUCCCUGCUGUAGCUCCAGGGUGAAGAGGAACACUUGUGAUCACAAGUUACCAGAAGCCCCUGCUGCUGCUCCAGGGUGAAGAGGAACACUUGCCAUCAAAAGUUACCAGAAGUCCCUGCUGUAGCUCCAGGGUGAAGAGGAACACUUGUGAUCACAAGUUACCAGAAGUCCCUGCUGCUGCUCUAGGGUGAAGAACAACAGUUGCCAUUACAAGUUGCCUGAAGUCCCUGCUGCAGCUCCAGGGUGAAGAGGAACACUUGCCAUCACAAGUUACCAGAAGUCCCUGCUGUAGUUCCAGGUUGAAGAGGAACAUCUGUGACCAUAAGUAACCUGAAGUCCCUGGUGCUGCUCCAGGGUGAAGAACAACAGUUGCCAUUACAAGUUGCCUGAAGUCCCUGCUGCUGCUCCAAGGUGAAGAGGAACACUUGCCAUCACAAGUUACCAGAAGUCCCUGCUGCAGCUCCAGGGUGAAGAGCAACACUUGCCAUCACAAGUUACCAGAAGUCCCUGCUGCAGCUCCAGGGUGAAGAGCAACACUUGCCAUCACAAGUUACCAGAAGUCCCUGCUGCAGCUCCAGGGUGAAGAGCAACACUUGCCAUCACAAGUUACCAGAAGUCCCUGCUGCAGCUCCAGCGUGAAGAGCAACACUUGCCAUCACAAGUUACCAGAAGUCCCUGAUGCUGCUCUAGGGUGUAGAAUAACAGUUUCCAUUACAAGUUGACUAAAGUCCCUACUGCUGUUCCAAGGUGAAGAGACCACGUGCCAUGAAAUGUUACCAGAAAUCUUUCCUGAAGCUACUGGGUGAAGAAGACCAAUUUCCCUAAGAAAAAUGCAGAAGACACAGCUGCAGCUUAGGGGUGGAGAGAGGCCUUUGAUAUCACAACAAAUCAGACGUCUCAGUUGCAGCUCUGGGUUGGACAGAGGUCUUUGCUAUCACAACCUAGCAUAGGUCUCAUUUACCGCUCCAGGAUAGAACGAGGCCUUUGCCAACCACAACUACGCAGGCGUCACAACUGCAGCUUAGUGGUGGAGAGCGGCCUUUGCUAUUACAACCAAGCAGAGGUCCAAGCUGCAGCUCCCGCUUGAAGAAGAACACUUCCUAUCACCAAUAAGUGGACUUCACAGCUGCAGCUCCAGUGUGAAGAAAAGGACUUUCCUCCAAAAGUAACCAGAAGUCCCUCCUGCUGCUCUAGGGUGAAGUACAACAGUUGCCAUCACAAGGUGCCAGAAGUCCCUGUUGCUGCUCCAGGGUGAAGAGCAACACUUGCCAUUACAAGUUACCAGAAGUCCCUGUUGCAGCUCCAGGGUGAAGAGCAACACUUGCCAUCACAAUUUGCCAGAAGUCCCUGCUGCAGCUCCAUGGUGAAUACGAACAUUUGCCAUCAAAAGUUACCAGAAAUCUUUCCUGUAGCUACUGGGUGAAGAUGACCAAUUACCCCAAGAAAAAUGCAGAGGACGCAGCUUCAGAUUAGGGGUGGAGACAGGCCUUUUCUAUCAAAACAAAGCAGAGGUCUCAGCUACAGCUCCGGGGUGGAGAGAGGCCUUUGCCAUCAGAAGAAAGCAGAGGUCUCAGCUGUAGUUCUAGGAUGUAGAGACACCUUUGCCAUCACAACCAAGAAGCUGUCUCAGCUGCAGCUCCCAGAUGGAGAGAGGCCUUUGCCAUCACAACUAAGCAGAAGUCCAAGCUGCAGCUCCUGUUUGAAGAAGAACACUUCCUAUCAGCAAUAAUUAGACGUCCCAGCUGCAUGUCCAGUGUGACAAAAAAACUUGUCACCACAAAUAACCAGAAUUUCCUGCUGCAGCUCCAGGGUGAAGACGAACACUUGUCAUCACAAGUAACCAGAAGUCCCUGCUGUAGCUCUAGGGUGAAGAGGAACACUUGUGAUCCUAAGUUACCAGAAGUCCCUGCUGUAGCUCCAGGGUGAAGAGGAACACUUGUGAUCAAAAGUUACCAGAAGUCCCUGCUGCUGCUCCAGGGUGAAGAACAACAGUUUCCAUUACAAGUUGCCUAAAGUCCCUGCUGCUGCUCCAAGGUGAAGAGGACCAAGUGCUAUGAAAUGUUACCAGAAAUCUUUCCUGAAGCUUGUGGGUGAAGAAGACCAAUUUCGCUAAGAAAAAUGCAGAAGACACAGCUGCAACUUAGGGGAGGAGAGAGGCCUUUGAUAUCGCAACAAAUCAGAGGUCUCAGUUGUAGCUCUGGGUUGGACAGAGGUCUUUGCUAUCACACCCUAGCAGAGGUCUCAUGUACCGCUACAAGAUAGAGUGAGGCCUUUGCCAUCACAACUACGCAGACGUCCCAACUGCACCUUAGGGGUGGAAAGAGGCCUUUGCCAUCACAACCAAGCAGAAGUACAAGCUGCACCUCCCGCUUGAAGAUGAACACUUCCUAUCACCAAUAACUGAACAUUACAUCUGCAGGUCCAGUGUGAAGAAAAGAACUUGCCUCCACAAGUAACCAGAAGUCCCUCCUCCUGCUCUAGGGUGAAGAACACCAGUUCCCAUCACAAUUUGCCAGAAGUCCCUGCGGCUGCUCCAGGGUGAAGAACACUUGUGGCGACAAGUAAACAGAAGUUCCUGCUGACGCUCCAGGGUGAAGAGCAACAGUUGCCAUUACAAGUUACCAGAAGUCCCUGCUGUAGCUCCAGCGUAAAGAGGAACACUUGUGAUCACAAGUACCCAGAAGUCCCUGCUGUAGCUCCAGCGUGAAGAGGAACACUUGUGACCACAAGUACCCAGAAGUCCCUGCUGCUGCUCCAGGGUGAAGAACAACAGUUGCCAUUACAAGUUGCCUGAUGUACAUGCUGCUGCUCCAAGGUGAAGAGGAACACUUGCCAUCACAAGUUACCAGAAGUCCCUGCUGUAGCUCCAGGGUGAAGAGGAACACUUGUGAUCACAAGUUACCAGAAGUCCCUGCUGUAGCUCCAGGGUGAAGAGGAACACUUGUGAUCACAAAUUACCAGAAGUCCCUGCUGCUCCUCUAGGGUGAAGAAUAACAGUUUCCAUUACAAGUUGACUAAAGUCCCUGCUGUUGCUCCAAGGUGAAGAGGUCCAAGUGCCAUGAAAUGUUGCCAGAAAUCUUUCCUGAAGAUACUGGGUGAAGAAGACCAAUUUCCCUAAGAAAAAUGCAGAAGACAUAGCUGCAGAUUAGUGGUGGAGAGAGGCCUUUGAUAUCACAACAAAUCAGAGGUCUCAGUUGCAGCUCUGGGUUGGACAGAGGUCUUUGCUAUCACAACCUAGCAUAGGUCUCAUUUACCGCUCCAGGAAAGAAUGAGGCCUUUGCCAUCACAACUACGCAGACGUCCCAACUGCAGCUUAGGGGUCGAGAGAGGCCUUUGCCAUCACAACCAAGCAGAGGUCCAAGCUGCAGCUCCCGUUUGAAGAAGAACACUUCCUAUCACCAAUAAGUGGACAUCACAGCUGCGGGUCCAGUGUGAAGAAAAGCACUUGCCUCCAAAAGUAACCAGACGUCCCUCCUGCUGCUCUAGGGUGAAGAACAACAGUUGCCAUCACAAGUUACCAGAAGUCCCUGCUGCUGCUCUAGGGUGAAGAAUAACAGUUUCCAUUACAAGUUGACUAAAGUCCCUGCUGCUGUUCCAAGGUGAAGAGGACCAAGUGCCAUGAAAUGUUUCUAGAAAUCUUUCCUGAAGCUACUGGGUGAAGAAGACCAAUUUCCGUAAGAAAAAUGCAGAAGACACAGCUGCAGCUUAGUGGUGGAGAGAGGCCUUUGCCAGUACAACCAAGCAGAGGUCCAAGCUGCAGCUCCCGUUUGAAGAAGAACACUUAAUAUGACCAAUAACUGGACAUCACAGCUGCGGGUCCAGUGUGAAGAAAAGCACUUGCCUCCAAAAGUAACCAGAAGUCCCUCCUGCUGCUCUAGGGUGAAGAACAACAGUUGCCAUCACAAGUUGUCAGAAGUCCCUGCUGCAGCUCCACGGUGAAGAGCAACACUUGCCAUCACAAGUUACCAGAAGUCCCUGCUGUAGCUCCAGGGUGAAGAGGAACACUUGUGAUCACAAGUUACCAGAAGUCCCUGCUGCUGCUCCAGGGUGAAGAACAACAGUUUCCAUUACAAGUUGCCUAAAGUCCCUGCUGCUGCUCCAAGGUGAAGAGGACCACGUGCCAUGAAAUGUUACCAGAAAUCUUUCCUGAAGCUACUGGGUGAAGAAGACCAAUUUCGCUAAGAAAAAUGCAGAAGACACAGCUGCAGCUUAGGGGUGGAGAGAGGCCUUUGAUAUCAUAACAAAUCAGAGGUCUCAGUUGCAGCUCUGGGUUGGACAGAGGUCUUUGCUAUCACAACCUAGCAGAGGUGUCAUAUACCGCUCCAGGAUAGAAUGAGGCCUUUGCCAUCACAACUACGCAGACGUCCCAACUGCAGCUUAGGGGUGGAGAGAGGCCUUUGCCAUCACAACCAUGCAGAGGUCCAAGCUGCAGCUCCCGUUUGAAGAAGAACACUUAAUAUCACCAAUAACUGGACAUCACAGCUGCGGGUCCAGUGUGAAGAAAAGCACUUGCCUCCAAAAGUAACCAGAAGUCCCUCCUGCUGCUCUAGGGUGAAGAACAACAGUUGCCAUCACAAGUUGCCAGAAGUCCCUGCUGCUGCUCCAGGGUGAAGAGGAACACUUGUGAUGACAAGUAACCAGAAGUCCCUGCUGACGCUCCAGGGUGAAGAGGAAUACUUGCCAUCACAAGUUACCAGAAGUCCCUGCUGCAGCUCCAGGGUGAAGAGCAACACUUGCCAUCACAAGUUAACAGAAGUCCCUGCUGCAGCUCCAGGGUGAAGAGCAACACUUGCCAUCACAAGUUACCAGAAGUCCCUGCUGCUGCUCUAGGGUGAAGAAUAACAGUUUCCAUUACAAGUUGCCUAAAGUCCCUGCUGCUGCUCCAAGGUGAAGAGGACCACGUGCCAUGAAAUGUUUCUAGAAAUCUUUCCUGAAGCUACUGGGUGAAGAAGACCAAUUUCCCUAAGAAAAAUGCAGAAGACACAGCUGCAGCUUAGUGGUGGAGAGAGGCCUUUGCCAGUACAACCAAACAGAGGUCCAAGCUGCAGCUCCCGUUUGAAGAAGAACACUUCCUAUCACCAAUAAGUGGACAUCACAGCUGCAGUUCCAGUGUGAAGAAAAGCACUUGCCUCCAAAAGUAACCAGAAGUCCCUCCUGCUGCUCCAGGGUGAAGAACAACAGUUGCCAUCACAAGUUGGCAGAAGUCCUUGCUGCUGCUCCAGGGUGAAGAGGAACACUUGUGAUGACAAGUAACCAGAAGUCCCUGCUGACGCUCCAGGGUGAAGAGGAAUACUUGCCAUCACAAGUUACCAGAAGUCCCUGCUGUAGCUCCAGGGUGAAGAGGAACACUUGUGAUCACAAGUUACCAGAAGUCCCUGCUGCUGCUCCAGGGUGAAGAACAACAGUUUACAUUAUAAGUUGCCUAAAGUCCCUGCUGCUGCACCAAGGUGAAGAGGACCACGUGCCAUGAAAUGUUACUAGAAAUCUUUCCUGAAGCUAAUGGGUGAAGAAGACCAAUUUCGCUAAGAAAAAUGCAGAAGACACAGCUGCAGCUUAGGGGUGGAGAGAGGCCUUUGAUAUCAUAACAAAUCAGAGGUCUCAGUUGCAGCUCUGGGUUGGUCAGAGGUCUUUGCUAUCACAACCUAGCAGAGGUGCCAUAUACCGCUCCAGGAUAGAAUGAGGCCUUUGCCAUCACAACCAAGCUGAGGUCCAAGCUGCAGCUCCCGUUUGAAGAAGAACACUUAAUAUCACCAAUACCUGGACAUCACAGCUGCGGGUCCAGUGCGAAGAAAAGCACUUGCCUCCAAAAGUAACCAGAAGUCCCUCCUGCUGCUCUAGGGUGAAGAACAACAGUUGCCAUUACAAGUUGCCAGAAGUCACUGCUGCUGCUCCAGGGUGAAGAGGAACACUUGUGAUGACAAGUAACCAGAAGUCCCUGCUGACGCUCCAGGGUGAAGAGGAACACUUGCCAUCACAAGUUACCAGAAGUCCCUGCUGCAGUUCCAGGGUGAAGAGCAACACUUGCCAUCAAUAGUUACCAGAAGUCCCUGCUGUAGCUCCAGGGUGAAGAGGAACACAUGUGAUCACAAGUUACCAGAAGUCCCUGCUGCUGCUCUAGGGUGAAGAAUAACAGUUUCCAUUACAAGUUGACUAAAGUCCCUGCUGCUGUUCCAAGGUGAAGAGGACCACGUGCCAUGAAAUGUUUCUAGAAAUCUUUCCUGAAGCUACUGGGUGAAGAAGACCAAUUUCCCUAAGAAAAAUGCAGAAGACACAGCUGCAGCUUAGUGGUGGAGAGAGGCCUUUGCCAGUACAACCAAGCAGAGGCCCAAGCUGCAGCUCCCGUUUGAAGAAGAACACUUCCUAUCACCAAUACGUGGACAUCACAGCUGCAGUUCCAGUGUGAAGAAAAGCACGUGCCUCCAAAAGUAACCAGAAGUCCCUCCUGCUGCUCUAGGGUGAAGAACAACAGUUGCCAUCACAAGUUCCCAGAAGUCCCUGCUGCAGCUCCAGGGUGAAGAGCAACACUUGCCAUCACAAGUUACCGGAAGUCCCUGCUGUAGCUCCAGGGUGAAGAGGAACACUUGUGAUCACAAGUUACCAGAAGUCCCUGCUGCUACUCCAGGGUUAAGAACAAAAGUUGCCAUCACAAGUUGCCAGAAGUCCCUGCUGCUGCUCCAGGGUGAAGAACAACAGUUCCCAUGACAAGUUGCCAGAAGUCCCUGCUGUUGCUCCAGGGUGAAGAGGAACACUUGUGACCACAAGCAACUAGAAGUCCCUGCUGACGCUCCAGUGUGAAGAGGAAUACUUGCUAUCACAAGAUACCAGAAGUUCCUGCUGCAGCUCCAGGGUGAAGAGGAACACUUGUCAUCAAAAGUAUCCAGAAGUCCCUGCUGUAGCUCCAGGGUGAAGAGGAACACUUGUUAUCACAAGUACCCAGAAGUCCCUGCUGCCGCUCCAGGUUGAAGAGCAAGACUUGUCAUCCUAAGUUGCCAGAAGUCCCUGCUGUAGCUCCAGGGUGAAUAGGACCAUUUGCCAUCAAAAGUUACCAGAAAUCUUUCCUGUAGCUACCGGGUGAUGAAGACCAAUUACCCCAAGAAAAAUGCAGUGGACCCAGCUGCAGAUUAGGGGGGGAGAGAGGCCUUUUCUAUCAAAACAAAGCAGAGGUCUCAGCUACAGCUCAGUGGUGGAGAGAGGCCUUUGCUAUCAGAAGAAAGCAGAGGUCUCAGCUGCAGUUCCAGGAUGCAGAGACAAAUUUUCCAUCACAACCAAGCAGCUGUCUCAGCUGCAGCUCCAAGAUGGAGAGAGGCCUUUGCCAUCACAACCAAGCAGAGGUCCAAGCUGCAGCUCCCAUUUGAAGAAGAACACUUACUAUCACCAAUAACUGGACAUCACAGCUGCAGGUCCAGUGUGAAGAAAAGCACUUGCCUCCAAAAGUAACCAGAAGUCCCUCCUGCUGCUCUAGGGUGAAGAAUAACAGUUGCCAUCACAAGUUGCCAGAAGUCCCUGCUGCUGCUCCAGGGUGAAGAGGAACACUUGUGAUGACAAGUAACCAGAAGUCCCUGCUGACGCUCCAGGGUGAAGAGGAAUACUUGCCAUCACAAGUUACCAGAAGUCCCUGCUGCAGCUCCAGGGUGAAGAGCAACACUUGCCAUCACAAGUUACCAGAAGUCCCUGCUGUACCUCCAGGGUGAAGAACAACAGUUUACAUUACAAGUUGCCUAAAGUCCCUGCUUCUGCACCAAGGUGAAGAGGACCACGUGCCAUGAAAUGUUACCAGAAAUCUUUCCUGAACAUAAUGGGUGAAGAGGACCACGUGCCAUGAAAUGUUACCAGAAAUCUUUCCUGAAGCUAAUGGGUGAAGAAGACCAAUUUCCCUAAGAAAAAUGCAGAAGACACAGCUGCAGCUUAGGGGUGGAGAGAGGCCUUUGAUAUCAUAACAAAUCAGAGGUCUCAGUUGCAUCUCUGGGUUGGACAGAGGUCUUUGCUAUCACAACCUAGCAGAGGUGUCAUAUACCGCUCCAGGAUAGAAUGAGGCCUUUGCCAUCACAACUACGCAGACGUCCCAACUGCAGCUUAGGGGUGGAGAGAGGCCUUUGCCAUCACAACCAAGCAGAGGUCCAAGCUGCAGCUCCCGUUUGAAGAAGAACACUUCCUAUCACCAAUAAGUGGACCUCACAGCUGCAGGUCCAGUGUGAAAAAAAGCACUUGCCUCCAAAAGUAACCAGAAGUCCCUUCUGCUGCUCUAGGGUGAAGAACAACAGUUGCCAUCACAAGUUGCAAGAAGUCCCUGCUGCUGCUCCAGGGUGAAGGGGAAAACUUUUGACCACAAAUACCCAGAAGUCCCUGCUGCUGCUCCAGGGUGAAGAGGAACACUUGCCAUCACAAGUUACCAGGAGUCCCUGCUGCAUCUCCAGGGUGAAGAGGAACAGUUGCCAUCACAAGUUACCAGAAGUCCCUGCUGCUACUCCAGGGUGAAGAACAACAGUUGCCCUCACAAUUUGCCAGAAGUCCCUGCUGCCGCUCCAGGGUGAAGAGGAACACUUGUGACCACAAGGACCCAGAAGUCCCUGCUGCUGCUCCUAGGUGAAGAGCAACACUUGCCAUCACAAGUUACCAGAAGUCCCUGCUGCUGCUCCAGGGUGAAGAGGAACACUUGCCAUCACAAGUUACCAGAAGUCCCUGCUGCUGCUCCAGGGUGAAGAACAAUAGUUGCCAUUACAAGGUGCCAGAAGUCCCUGCUGACGCUCCAGUGUGAAGAGGAAUACUUGCCAUCACAAGAUACCAGAAGUUCCUGCUGCAGCUCCAGGGUGAAGAGGAACAGUUGCCAUCACAAGUUACCAGAAGUCCCUGCUGCUACUCCAGGGUGAAGAACAACAGUUGCCCUCACAAUUUGCCAGAAGUCCCUGCUGCUGCUCCAGGGUGAAGAGGAACACUUGUGACCACAAGGACCCAGAAGUCCCUGCUGCUGCUCCUAGGUGAAGAGGAACACUUGCCAUCAGAAGUUACCAGAAGUCCCUGUUGCUGCUCCAGGGUGAAGAACAAUAGUUGCCAUUACAAGUUGCCAGAAGUCCCUGCUGCUGCUCCAAGGUGAAGAGGAACACUUGCCAUCACAAGUUACCAGAAGUCCCUGCUGCUGCUCCAGGGUGAAGAACAAUAGUUGCCAUUACAAGGUGCCAGAAGUCCCUGCUGACGCUCCAGUGUGAAGAGGAAUACUUGCCAUCACAAGAUACCAGCAGUUCCUGCUGCAGCUCCAGGGUGAAGACGAACACUUGUCAUCACAAGUAACCAGAAGUCCCUGCUGUAGCUCCAGGGUGAAGAGGAACACUUGUGAUCCCAAGUUACCAGAAGUCCCUGCUGCAGCUCCUGGCUGAAGAGGUACACAUUUCACCACAAGUAACCAGAAGUCCCUGUAGCAGCUCCAGGGUGAAGACGAACACUUGCCAUCACAAGUAAGCAGAAGUCCCUCCUGCAGCUCCAGGGUGAAGAACAACAGUUGCCAUCACAAAUUACUUGAAGUUCCUGCUGCAGGUCCAGGGUGAAGAGGAACACUUGCCAUCACACUUUACUCGAAGUCCCGGCCAUUGCUCCAGGGUGAAGAGGAAAACUUGCCAUCACAAGUAACCAGAAUUUCCUGAUGCCACUCGAGGGUGAAGAGGUGCCAUCAAAAAUUACGAGAAGUCCCUGCUGCUGUUCCAGGGGUAAAUAAGAGCAGUCCCAUCACACGUAACCAGAAUUCCCUGCUAUAGUGACAGGGUGAAGAGGAACACUUGCCAUCACACUUUACUCGACGUCCCGGCUAUUGCUCCAGGGUGAAGAGGAAAACUUGCCAUCACAAGUAACCAGAAUUUUCUGAUGCCACUCGAGGGUGAAGAGGUGCAGUUGCCAUCAAAAGUUACGAGAAGUCCCUGCUGCUGUUCCAGGGUGAUAUUCAUCUGGUAAACAUGGAAAGAAGCUGCUGUCCAAGUAAUUGAUGGUUUGAACCUGCUGUACCAAAGUUUUUUUCUAUGGAUCUCAACUUCGCCUUUGGAGUUCACUUUGAACUGCUUUUGAUUCAAUUCAUACGGACACCAGUUGUCAUUUUCACAUUGUCCUUCUCUGAUGUUUGAAAAGAUUGAAGGCAAAAGGAGAAGAGGAUGGCAGGAGGUGACAAAGAUGAGAGAGUGUCAUGGAAGGAGCAAACGUGAACUUGGACAGACUUUGUAAGAUAGCAGACAGAAGGGCCUGGUAUGCUAAGGUCUCUGGGGUCACAAAUCUUCAACGUUCAAAAUACCGGAGCCCAUAAAGUGAAUCAGAAGCAGGACAAACAGACAUCGGAUAACAAGACAGGGAUACACGAAGGAAGUGGGACUCAGAUGAGGACGUAUACAAUGGACGGGAACAAAGAAGACCCAAAGACAAGGAAUAUCCCAGAACAAUGAGAAUCCAUGACAUCUGCCCACCACAAUCUGUCCUGCCAUUCUCAAGACCAUGUGGCUUUCCUUCCCCUGCUUUGCUACCACAAGGAUGGAUACAGAACUUCCCACAACAAACACUGACAUCAUAUGGAGGAACCCGGUUUAUCUUCUUCUACGAUGGCAGAGUCAACUCUACAAAUGUACAUAGAAUAUAAGAGGGCCAAAAAGGAAUGGAAGGAAAGGAAAGGAAAGAGGAAAAAAAGGGAAGAGGAGGAAAAGGAAAUAAGCAUUUAUUAAGAACCUACUAUGUGUCAGGCACUGUGAUAAGCACUUUACUAAUAUUAUCUUAUUAAGUGUGAGAUCUGGACCCUCUGCCCCUUAAUCAUGUGCCACCACUUUGGAAAAGAUCAGAAAAGCUGCAAAAAAUUGAGGGGAGCCCAAGAAAAUGGUGUCUCCCCUGAAGUCAAAAGGAGACCCUGAGGGUGGGACCAUGUCAGAAGAUGAAAAAGAAACCAGAGCAAGAGAGCUUACAGUCCCUCAGAAGAAUAGGAAAAGACCGUGGCUACCCUAGCAAAGGUCCCAGCGGCCACAAAAGCCACCGCUCCUGCAACAAAGUGCCUGGGAUAUUUUCUAAGAAGGCCUCCGGCAAGAAAGGGCCACCCCGGCCAAAGCUGAUGUCAUCCUAACAGAAGCGGGAGCCCCCCCCCCCGAGCCACCCACCCAUGAGCAAAGGGGCCCCCAGGAAGUUAAGAAAGAAGAUGGUGACUCUGAAGAAGACAGUGAAGAUGAGAAGAGAGAACCUGGGCCACCCAGAGCUACAAAAGUGGGAGCAGCUCUAGCCAAAUACACUUAGAUGGUGGUAAUGGAGGAGGAAGAAGAAGAAAUGAAGGAGGAGGAGGAGGGUGGGGAAGAAGAAACAAAGGAAGAAGAAAUGGCGGCGGUGGAGGAGGAGGAGGGUGGGGAAGAAGAAACGAAGGAA
rnacentral:lncRNA from 1 species